rnacentral:rRNA from 1 species
GAGUGGCGAACGGGUGAGUAACACGUAGGUGAUCUACCUAGAAGUUGGGGAUAGCCUGUGGAAACCACAGGGUAAUACCGAAUGAGCCUAUAUACAUACGUGUAUGUAGGGAAAGAGGCUCAGGCCUCGCUUGUAGUUGAGCCUGCGGCUCAUUAGCUAGUUGGGAGGGUAAAGGCCUACCAAGGCGACGAUGAGUAGCCGACCUGAGAGGGUGGGCGGUCACACUGGGACUGAGACACGGNCCAGACUCCUACGGGAGGCAGCAGCUAAGAAUCUUCCGCAAUGGUCGAAAGGCUGACGGAGCGACGCCGCGUGGACGAAGAAGGCCCGGAAGGGUUGUAAAGUUCUUUUCUCAGAGAAGAAUAAGGUGAGGAGGGAAUGCCUCAUUGAUGACGUUAUCUGAGGAAUAAGCCCCGGCUAAUUACGUGCCAGCAGCCGCGGUAACACGUAAGGGGCGAGCGUUGUUCGGAAUUAUUGGGCGUAAAGGGCGCGUAGGCGGCUUGAACAAUGCCUGGUGUGAAAGGGCCACCAAGCUUAACUGUGGGAAUGCGCUGGGAAACUUGUUUGGCUAGAGUUCAGGAGGGGAAGCUGGAAUUCCUGGUGUAGGGGUGAAAUCUGUAGAUAUCAGGAAGAAACACCCUGUUGGCGAAGGCGAGCUUCUGGCCAUGGACUGACGCUUGAGGCGCGAAAAGCCGUGGGGAGCCGAACCAGGAUUAGAUACCCUGGGUAGUCCACGCCGGUAAACGAAUGUGCCCCUAAGGUGUGGGUUGGCGAAAUGAUCGGUGCCGAAGCAAACGCCGAUAAGUGCACCGCCUGGGGAGUAUGCUCGCAAGGGUGAAACUCAAAGGAAUUGACGGGGGCCCGCACAACCGUUGGAGCAUGUGGUUUAAUUCGAUGAUACGCGAGGAACCUUACCAGGGCUUGACAUAUGCAUGACGGUCGUAGAGAUACGGCUUCACUUCGGGGCGUGUAUACAGGUGCUGCAUGGUUGUCGCCAGCUCGUGCUGUGAGGUGUUGGGUUAAGUCCCGCAACGAGCGCAACCCCUGCUGUCUGUUGCCAGCAUUUCGGAUGGGGACUCAGACGGUACUGCCGGUGACAAACCGGAGGAAGGUGGGGAUGACGUCAAAUCAUCAUGGCCCUUAUGUCCUGGGCUACACACGUGCUACAAUGGCCGGUACAGAGCGACGCGAAACCGCGAGGUGGAGCAAAUCGCAGAAAGCUGGUCUCAGUACGGAUUGGAGUCUGAAACCCGACUUCAUGAAGUUGGAAUCGCUAGUAAUCGCGCAUCAGCAUGGCGCGGUGAAUACGUUCCCGGGCCUUGUACACACCGCCCGUCACACCACCCGAGUUGGGGGUACCCGAAGUUGCUCGUCUAACCGGUUACGGAGGACGGUACCGAAGGUAUGCCUG